GACGAACGCUGGCGGCGUGCCUAAUACAUGCAAGUUGAGCGCUGAAGGUUGGUACUUGUACCGACUGGCUGAGCAGCGAACGGGUGAGUAACGCGUGGGGAAUCUGCCUUUGAGCGGGGGACAACAUUUGGAAACGAAUGCUAAUACCGCAUAAAAACUUUAAACACAAGUUUUAAGUUUGAAAGAUGCAAUUGCAUCACUCAAAGAUGAUCCCGCGUUGUAUUAGCUAGUUGGUGAGGUAAAGGCUCACCAAGGCGAUGAUACAUAGCCGACCUGAGAGGGUGAUCGGCCACAUUGGGACUGAGACACGGCCCAAACUCCUACGGGAGGCAGCAGUAGGGAAUCUUCGGCAAUGGACGAAAGUCUGACCGAGCAACGCCGCGUGAGUGAAGAAGGGUGUCGGAUCGUAAAACUCUGUUGGUAGAGAAGAACGUUGGUGAGAGUGGAAAGCUCAUCAAGUGACGGUAACUACCCAGAAAGGGACGGCUAACUACGUG
rnacentral:rRNA from 1 species